CAAAACACAAUGGAUAAUAUGCCACGGUAACAUCUUCAAGUCGACUAAGACAUCUUACCCUUGCCUUGGUCCUGCCUCGAGCAACCUGAAAAAGGUUAAGAAUAUUGGGGUGAGAUUACUAACUCUUUGUGAGUCCCCUAUCUUAUGGGUCCACUCAGCUCUACAUAGUGCAUAAUAUAUACAUAUCAACCAUUAAUUUGGGGUUUCCUUAGUU
rnacentral:lncRNA from 1 species